UCUCAACAGGAGACAGAAGCGAUGGAGGUCCAGCAGAUGGACGCGGGGCAGGACAACACACCCAAGUCUGCCCAAAUCCAGACAUCACAACCACAGGCCACAGGGAAACCUCAUGAGAUCAGAGAGAUGCUCUGUACCGACAAUAAGCAGGAUCACAGAGAAAGCAGCGAGUCUCUGACAGACACGGGUAUAACCAGUGAUGAUGCAUUACUGCUUCCAGAUCAUAUACCUACAAUUUCACACAAAAUAGAGAAAGAGAAACACGCUCUCCCCAAUGGCUCGCCCGCUAUAGUCAGUAAUGGAUCGACUGUUGUGUGCACAUCACCAUCAGAAAGAAGCAAAGCUCGUACCACAACGUCACCGAAAUGCAGCGGACACACAAAGUGCAAAGGACACAGACACCCGCAGAAGAAACACCCGCACAAAAAACACCCGCCAUCCACCUCCAAAAGUCAGCAGAGCUUUAAGGGAGACGCCUCUCAGAUUCAGAAAGUCGCUGGAGAUGAUUGUUGUGCUCACUGUAUCCUGGCGUGUCUGUUUUGUGAGCUGAUGUCGUGUUGUUCGGUGAUGGCUCAGUGUUUGGCGUGUGGUUUGGAGUGUGAUGCUCUCUGUUGCUGCGGUGAAGCUGCCACCGGUGGACUUGCGUGCUGUGCUGAAGAUAGCUGCUCUGCACUGCUGGAUUGUGGGAUACUGGAGGAUUGUUGUCAGUCGUCAGAUUGUCUGGAGAUCUGCUUGGAAUGCUGCUCCAUCUGUUUUCCUACCUGAAACGACAACUAUGAACAAAGCAAAUCAAGUGUGACUUUAAAAACAAACAGAAAGCAUCGAGUUAUUAUCUUGUGUAUUGUAUUUAUUUGGUGUAAAGGAUGAGUUUGCUGCUUAGACCAAAAUCUGACUGUUCUUACAAACCUACUUAAAGUCUUAUCUGGGUGCUGCAGGAAUUCUGCACGGAUGCAAAAAUAACCAUCCAGAAAGCCUGCAUAUUCCUCUGGGCAUGUUGAAUUUCACAGUCUUUCUCCAGAUGACUUUGCCCGUGGCCUGAUCUGCUCUCUGCUCUUUAGAUAGCGGGCAUAGAGGACGCUGAUGUUGAAUCUGCGUGUCCAAUAAAAU